rnacentral:rRNA from 1 species
GUAGCCGGUUUAAUCAGUCUUCUGGGAAAUCUAAUCGCUUAACUAUUAGGCUUCCAGGGGAUACUGUUAGACUUGGGACCGGGAGAGGUAAGAGGUACUGCAGGGGUAGGAGUGAAAUCUUGUAAUCCCUGUGAGACCACCAGUGGCGAAGGCGUCUUACCAGAACGGGUCCGACGGUGAGGGACGAAAGCUGGGGGCACGAACCGGAUUAGAUACCCGGGUAGUCCCAGCUGUAAACGAUGCUCGUUAGGUGUCAGGAACGGUGCGACUGUUUCUGGUGCCGAAGGGAAGCCGUGAAACGAGCCACCUGGGAAGUACGGCCGCAAGGCUGAAACUUAAAGGAAUUGGCGGGGGAGCACUACAACGGGUGGAGCCUGCGGUUUAAUUGGACUCAACGCCGGAAAACUCACCGGGGGCGACAGCAAUAUGUAGGUCAGGUUAAAGGUCUUACCUGAAUCGCUGAGAGGAGGUGCAUGGCCGUCGUCAGUUCGUACUGUGAAGCAUCCUGUUAAGUCAGGCAACGAGCAAGACCCGUGCCCACUGUUACCAGCAUAUCCUUUAUGGAUGAUGGGGACUCUGUGGGGACCGCUGCUGCUAAAGCAGAGGAAGGUGCGGGCUACGGUAGGUCAGUAUGCCCCGAAUCUCCCGGGCUACACGCGGGCUACAAUGGUUGGGACAAUGGGUAUCUACUCCGAAAGGAGUUGGCAAUCUCUUAAACCCAAUCGUAGUUCGAAUUGAGGGCUGUAACUCGCCCUCAUGAAGCUGGAAUCCGUAGUAAUCGCGUUUCAACAUAGCG